UUACGACCACAUCACGUUGAAACACCGGUACCCAUACGAUCACCGAAGUUAAGCAAUAUCGCGCCUGGUCAGUACCUAGAUGGGUGAUCACUUGGGAAUACCAGGUACUGUAAG